AUAUUAUAUUUUGAUUAUUAGUUACACUAUUUAUCGCGCCUAAAAGUGUAGUGUAUACUAGUCUGGGAGCCGUUUUUCUUGUGGCGAUUUUUUAAAUGAAUUAUCUACGUAAAUAUUGAACCCACGGGGGGCGCCUCACCCCUGCCUUCCCCAUGGACAGUCCAGCAAUGUCUGCUUCCACUCCCCCUGUGUUUCCAGACCCAGAGAGUGAAGCAAAGCCAGAAUCAACCACCACACUAGAUAAAUAGCCAUUACUGUGACGAUGGAAUGCUGUCAGCGAGCAGCAUGGAAGACGCAGAGAGAGUGGUGGUCAGGUGGUGGUGGAGACAGGGAGAGUAUGUGGCCUGGAGAUUAACAAACAGAACACCAAUAAUCUUGUGACCUCCAUGCACCCUUCCUAAUGUCAAUAAAGUUGUCUUAGUAUGCCCAAAAUUGUCUUCUACUGCAAUUACUAAUAAACCAUAUUAUUAUUA
rnacentral:lncRNA from 1 species